rnacentral:rRNA from 1 species
AGUGAACGCUGGCGGCAGGCCUAAUACAUGCAAGUCGAACGGCAGCACAGCAGAGCUUGCUCUGUGGGUGGCGAGUGGCGGACGGGUGAGGAAUACAUGGGAAUCUGCCCAGUCGUGGGAGAUAACGUAGGGAAACUUACGCUAAUACCGCAUGCGCCCUUCGGGGGAAAGCCGGGGACCUUCGGGCCUGGCGCGAUUGGAUGAGCCCAUGUCGGAUUAGCUAGUUGGCGGGGUAAUGGCCCACCAAGGCGACGAUCCGUAGCUGGUCUGAGAGGAUGAUCAGCCACACUGGAACUGAGACGCGGGCCAGACUCCUACGGGAGGCAGCAGUAGGGAAUAUUGGAAAAUUGGCGCAAGCCUGAUCCAGCCAUGCCGCGUGAGUGAAGAAGGCCCUCGGGUUGUAAAGCUCUUUUGUCCGGAAAGAAAAGCAUCCAGUUAAUACCUGGGUGUCCUGACGGUACCGGAAGAAUAAGCACCGGCUAACUUCGUGCCAGCAGCCGCCGUAAAAC